GACGAACGCUGGCGGCGUGCCUAGUACAUGCAAGUCGAACGAACCGCGACUGAGUGCUUGCACUUGGUCAAGGUGAGUGGCGAACGGGUGAGUAACACGUGGGUAACCUACCUCAUAGUGGGGGAUAACAGUCGGAAACGACUGCUAAUACCGCAUAGGACAUGGGAUCACAUGAUUCUGCGAGGAAAGGUGGCGCAAGCUAUCGCUAAGAGAUGGACCCGCGGUGCAUUAGCUAGUUGGUAGGGUAAGGGCCUACCAAGGCGAUGAUGCAUAGCCGACCUGAGAGGGUGAUCGGCCACAUUGGGACUGAGACACGGCCCAAACUCCUACGGGAGGCAGCAGUAGGGAAUCUUCCGCAAUGGUCGCAAGUCUGACGGAGCAACGCUGCGUGAGUGAAGAAGGUCUUCGGAUCGUAAAGCUCUGUUGUUAGAGAAGAACAGCGCAUAGAGUAACUGUUAUGCGUGUGACGGUAUCUAACCAGAAAGCCACGGCUAACUACGUGC
rnacentral:rRNA from 1 species